GACCCUUUCGUCUAGUGGCCAAGGACAAUAUCAUUUCAUGGUAUGAACAGAGGUUCAAAUCCUUUAGGGGUCGCCA
rnacentral:tRNA from 1 species